rnacentral:rRNA from 1 species
ACUCCUACGGGAGGCAGCAGUGGGGAAUAUUGCACAAUGGGCGCAAGCCUGAUGCAGCCAUGCCGCGUGUAUGAAGAAGGCCUUCGGGUUGUAAAGUACUUUCAGCAGUGAGGAAGGUGGAGUCGUUAAUAGCGGCCUCAUUUGACGUUAGCUGCAGAAGAAGCACCGGCUAACUCCGUGCCAGCAGCCGCGGUAAUACGGAGGGUGCGAGCGUUAAUCGGAAUUACUGGGCGUAAAGCGCACGUAGGCGGAUUGGAAAGUUGGGGUGAAAUCCCGGGGCUCAACCCCGGAACGGCCUUCAAAACUCCCAGUCUAGAGGUCGAGAGAGGUGAGUGGAAUUCCGAGUGUAGAGGUGAAAUUCGUAGAUAUUCGGAGGAACACCAGUGGCGAAGGCGGCUCACUGGCUCGAUACUGACGCUGAGGUGCGAAAGUGUGGGAGCAAACAGGAUUAGAUACCCUGGUAGGACAGUG